GACUAAUACAAUCAUAUUCUAAGCAUCCACUUCUUCUACAUCUUCAUUGAGGUGGGACUGAUGUAGAUUCCAGUGAGUAGUGAAAUGACUGUUGCUAUUGGACACUAUUAUUGGUGAUGCUUGAUUGAGAGCUCAUUCUUCUUAAUUUUGUUUU